rnacentral:ncRNA from 1 species
UUUGCGAAAUCCUCGAAAAAACCGAAAGAUGGAGAAAUGUGCUUACGUGGGUUAAAGUCAGAGGAACUGCAGUGCUUCUGACUUGCAAAUCGAUCAUCAAACGUGACUAUGUGGGAGAAAGGCUAAUCGAACCAUGUAGAAGCUGGUACCCUCUCAAGUUUCGCUCGGGAUAGCUGGCACUCACUCGCAUGACCAGUUUUAUCGAGUAAAGCGAAUGAUUAAAGGUACUGUGUUCGAAAAGAGCUCCAACUUUUCUCAAAAUUUAAAUGGAGGAUAGGCCCAACUCGCUUUAUAGGAGUUGGGUGAGGGCCAUGUGGGCCAUUUUUGGUAAUCAGAACUGGCGCUGUGAGAUGAAACAAACACCGAUUUUCAUACGUAAAAUUGGUGACGAAAUUGUGCUUCUAAAAUUUUCACUAUUUGUUGUGGAAAAGUA